rnacentral:rRNA from 1 species
GCUUACGGCCAUACCACCCUGAGAACGCCCGAUUUCGUCUGAUCUCGGAAGCUAAGCAGGGUUGGGCCUGGUUAGUACUUGGAUGGGAGACCGCCUGGGAAUACCAGGUGCUGUAAGCC